GACGAACGCUGGCGGCGUGCUUAACACAUGCAAGUCGAGCGGUAAGGGCCCUUUCGGGGGUACACGAGCGGCGAACGGGUGAGUAACACGUGGGUGACCCUGCCCUCAGCUCUGGGAUAAGCCUGGGAAACCGGGUCUAAUACUGGAUAUGACUCCAUGACGCAUGUUGUGGGGUGGAAAGCCUUGUGCGGCUGAGGAUGGGCCCGCGGCCUAUCAGCUUGUUGGUGGGGNGAUGGCCUACCAAGGCGACGACGGGUAGCCGGCCUGAGAGGGCGACCGGCCACACUGGGACUGAGACACGGCCCAGACUCCUACGGGAGGCAGCAGUGGGGAAUCUUGCGCAAUGGGCGAAAGCCUGACGCAGCGACGCCGCGUGAGGAUGACGGCCUGGUG
rnacentral:rRNA from 1 species